CAUAAACACAGUACAAUCUCACGCCUCCUUCUCCCUCUUCUCUCUCACCCUCCUCCAUUCUCCCUCGUAGCCCAGAAAUUCGGAACCCCCCCUUAGCUGAAACAGCCUCUCGAAAUCAUCACGUGAAUUCGGCGACUCAUGCUUAAAGCUUAACACAUGUCUUGCUCAAGCUUUUCAAUCUCUUUACUCUGCAAAGCAACGAAAUCAUUAUAAAUGUCGCCAUUGCUAAUUAAUUUCUAGGGUUCUAGGGUUUGCGCAUGAGAAGAAGAAGGAAAAGAUGAGAAGGGAGGAGAGAGAAUAGUGGUGAAUAAUUCUAGUGUUUGCGUGUUGGAUUUCAUCGCGUUUGCUUGGUGUUGGAUGGGGGCGAGGAACAACACAUCAACCUAAGUCGACGAAACGUUGCCGGAAUCUUCUUUGACGUCGCCGAAAUCUAAAUGAUGAUCUUCGCAACUUAUUUUCCACCAGAUGUAGAGAAAGGAUUUUGGCGAGUGGAUAGUUUUAAGAUUGCUUUGGCCUUUAUGCAGUUUCCUCGCGCGAACCAACAACAAACACCAUCACACAUUUUUCAUUUUUUUUUAUAUUUUAUUUGUGAAGCGUUUGUGACUAUUAAUCUAGCUAGGAAUUAUUUACCUUUUUUUAGGCUGUAAUCAAUUUCUUGAUAUAUUAUUUGCAGUUUAUUC